UACGAAGGGGGCUAGCGUUGUUCGGAAUUACUGGGCGUAAAGCGCACGUAGGCGGGUUGUUAAGUCAGGGGUGAAAUCCUGGAGCUCAACUCCAGAACUGCCUUUGAUACUGGCAACCUAGAGACUGGAAGAGGUUAGUGGAAUUCCCAGUGUAGAGGUGAAAUUCGUAGAUAUUCGGAAGAACACCAGUGGCGAAGGCGACUAACUGGACAUGUAUUGACGCUGAGGUGCGAAAGCGUGGGGAGCAAACAGG
rnacentral:rRNA from 1 species